UGUCUAAGUACAAGCCUAAACACGGUGAAACUGCGAAUGGCUCAUUAAAUCAGUUGAGGUUCCUUAGAUCGUUCAAUCCUACUUGGAUAACUGUAGUAAUUCUAGAGCUAAUACAUGCACAUUCGGCCCUGACCUCACGGGAAGGGCGCUUUUAUUAGACCAAAAACCAAUGCGGGUUCGUUUCGGCGUCCCGCCCUUGGUGGUGAACCCUG
rnacentral:rRNA from 1 species